rnacentral:rRNA from 1 species
UACACGCUGUGACUAGCAUAUCAAUAAGCGGAGGAAAAGAAACUAACAAGGAUUCCCCUAGUAACGGCGAGUGAAGCGGGAAGAGCUCAAAUUUGAAAUCUUAAAGGGUUUCCCUUUACGAAUUGUAGUUUAAAGAAGUGUUUUCUGUUGAGGUUUUGGUAAAAGUUCUUUGGAAUAGGACAUCAUAGAGGGUGAGAAUCCCGUAUUUGACCUUUACUUUCAACUUUGUGAUACACUUUCAAAGAGUCGGAUUGUUUGGGAAUGCAGAUCCAAAAUGGGUGGUAAAUUUCAUCUAAAGCUAAAUAUUGGCGAGAGACCGAUAGCGAACAAGUACCGUGAGGGAAAGAUGAAAAGAACUUUGAAAAGAGAGUUAAACAGUACGUGAAAUUGUCAAAAGGGAAGCGUUUGACACCAGUGUUGUUUUUCUGAAAAUCAAUUAAAGAACUGUUUAUGCUAAGUUGUUUAGACUUUAUCAGCUAACUGUUUAGUUUUGAGCUUUUCUUUAAUGCACUUUUCAGUUAACAAGUCAACAUCAAUUUCUUUUGCUGUAAAAAAGCUUGAGGAAGGUGGCUUGAGAUUCGUCUUAAGUGUUUAUAGCCUCUUGCCUAUGCAGUCGGAGAGAUUGAGGUCUGCAGCGUAGAUCCUUCGGGGCUAAAUGCAUUUGUGCUAAGUUAUAGCAUUUUAUAGACAACUUGUUGACUAUGAUUUGUCUUGUAGCUUACUCGCUUAUGUUAUUUUACCUACGCUUAGGAUGUUGACAGCAGUAUAGACUGU